CAGAUUUCCUCACCAUAUGCUAAUGAGCCAGGAGCCUUUAAGUGUCGGGGCCCGGCAUGCAGAGCAGUGAGGAGCUGCAGACGGGGACACACAGAAGCCAUAAAACAUGAACACGUGAAGCGAAGUGCCAGAGGGACGUGAGGGAUGGAAUGCUGCAUGGGAGACCUCCCCGUCAGGAUCUCUCUGCUAGCUGUUAUGUCUUGUGCCCCGGACAGGAUAUCAUCUUAUACUGUAAGUUUAUUAAAGAGACACUACAGUAUAGAUGAUGUACUAUCCAGGGUUUCAUUCCCCCACCGGCUCUAUCAGCGCACUCUGGCUCCUAACUGCUGCAGGGGGGGGCCGUCAAACCGUUACCAUUACUGAGUUUCAGUAAUGGUAAGGGUUAUACGGCUCUCACUCAAUGACAUGAUGACCUUGAGGAAGAACACAGCAACAUAUUUUCAUGUUUAUGUGCGUUAAAUAAAGCGUAUGGCUUCCAAACAAACAA